rnacentral:misc_RNA from 1 species
GGAUGAAGAACGCAGCAAAAUGCGAUAAGUAGUGUGAAUUGCAGAAUUCAGUGAAUCAUCGAAUCUUUGAACGCACAUUGCGCCCCUUGGUAUUCCAUGGGGCAUGCCUGUUCGAGCGUCAUUGACACCCUCAAGCUCUGCUUGGUGUUGGGCCGUUGUCGUUUCCUCGCCCCCCCGGCGACACAGCGACACCCCUCAAAGUCAUUGGCGGCUUUCCUGCCCAGCUUUCCCGCGCAGCAGUUCGCGCUUCGGAGACCACUUGGCAGGUUGGCAUCCAUCAAGCUGACCCCUCACGCUUGACCUCGGAUCAGGUAGGGACUACCCGCUGAACUUAAGCAUAUCAAUAAGCGGAGGA